rnacentral:rRNA from 1 species
AUUGAACGCUGGCGGCAGGCCUAACACAUGCAAGUCGAACGAGUGGCGGACGGGUGAGUAAUGUAUGGGAAACUGCCUGAUGGAGGGGGAUACCUACUGGAAACGGUAGCUAAUACCGCAUACCAUCCUAUGGGGCCAGAUGGGUUUAGCUGGUUGGUGGGGUAACGGCGCAUCAAGGCGACGAUCCCUAGCUGGUCUGAGAGGAGGACCAGCCACACUGGAACGGAGACACGGUCCAGACUCCUACGGGAGGCAGCAGUGGGGAAUAUUGCACAAUGGGCGCAAGCCUGAUCCAGCCAUGCCGCGUGUAUGAAGAAGGCCUUCGGAUUGUAAAGUACUUUCAGCGGAGAAGCGUUACCCGCAGAAAAAGCACCGGCUAACUCCGUGCCAGCAGCCGCGGUAAUUC